AACGAACGCUGGCGGCGUGCCUAACACAUGCAAGUCGAGCGCGAAUAGGGGCAACCCUUAGUAGAGCGGCGCACGGGUGCGUAACACGUAGGUAAUCUGCCUGGAAGCCUGGGAUAACUAGCCGAAAGGUUAGCUAAUACCAGAUGAGACCCCGGGAGCUUCGGCUCCAGAGGGAAAAGGUGGCCUCUGUAUACAAGCUAUCACUUCCAGAUGAGCCCGCGGCCCAUCAGCUAGUUGGCGGGGUAAUGGCCCACCAAGGCAACGACGGGUAGCUGGUCUGAGAGGACGAUCAGCCACACUGGAACUGAGACACGGUCCAGACUCCUACGGGAGGCAGCAGUGGGGAAUUUUGCGCAAUGGGCGAAAGCCUGACGCAGCAACGCCGCGUGUGUGAUGAAGGUCUUCGGAUUGUAAAGCACUUUCGACCGGGACGAAAACCGGCAGCCUAACACGCUGUCGUCUGACGGUACCGGGAGAAGAAGCACCGGCUAACUCUGUGCCAGCAGCCGCGGUAAUACAGAGGGUGCAAGCGUUGUUCGGAAUUAUUGGGCGUAAAGCGCGCGUAGGCGGCUUUGCAAGUCGGGUGUGAAAGCCCUCGGCUCAACCGAGGAAGUGCGCCCGAAACUGCAGAGCUUGAGUGCCGGAGAGGAUGGCGGAAUUCCCCAAGUAGAGGUGAAAUUCGUAGAUAUGGGGGAGGAACACCGGGUGGCGAAGGCGGCCAUCUGGACGGUAACUGACGCUGA
rnacentral:rRNA from 1 species